GUGCUGCACAGACACCUCCCAGGGCUGUGGUCUGUGCCCUGAUACAAGACAGAACCGGUGCAGAGUGAGGCUGCUUCCCUCCAGUCACGGAGGAGAUUGAGAACAGAGCUAGGAACAGGAGAAUGAGGGAAAAGAUGGGCAUAGAUAAUUGGAUGCUGUUGCUAUGGGGUCAUGGUGGAGGCAGGAAGGUUAGCGUGAAGUAGACUGCAAGGACCCCAGGAAAAUGAUUAUAUAUUCACAUCAUAACAUCUUAGAAGUGCAUGGAAAAUAUUGUGCUGAAGAUACACCAGCUUACUACAAGGGUCUUACGUCAUGUCUUCAACAGAGUUCCCACAAACAAGAUGCUGCGUUACUGCAGCACCAGGCUGUACCAGACCUGAGAAGUCCUCCUCCCUCGGUCCCUGCUGGACAGACGGCCACGUGUGCUGCACGCAGAGCAGUUGGCAGUGCCUCGCGUCUGCGUCUGCACAGGACGCCUCCGUUCCCUCUCUGCAACGUGCUUAGUGUCUGCUGGAUGCUCUGUGAUACAGGCUGUGACUUUAUUUAUUUAUUUUUGGAACAGAGCUCGAAGGGCUGUGAUGGCUAGACAGAGAUGUGUGUGGGGUGCAGGAGAUGAUAGGUAUUAGAUGCUGUCUCACAAGCUGCUUCUCCUUCCGGAUAAACACCUUCCCAUCUGUGUUUUUUGAAGGCCAGUCAUCCUUUGCACCACUUGGGGACUAUAAAUGACAGUCUUUUGCAUCAUGUAUGCAGAGGGGCACCGUUAAUGCUUACAGGGUCUCUUGGGUGGGAAGAUCCCACCCACACUGAGUAAUUCACGGCACGGCAGCUCCCUGUAACACCAAUACUCCUAUUGCUUCUAACAUAUCAGCUUUUAGGCAGGGGCAUAAAGCCCACAUUAUUAGCAUCCAAGACACAUUUCUAUUAAUAGCUGUUCACUGGUUCUAAAUUAGAUCAGCAUAUAUUAGAGCUAUGUAACUGAAUUAAACUAGACUGAAUAUAGAGCUACUAUCAGAAUUUCUACAUUUUUAACUGGAUUUUUCAUUGCGUUCUUGUCUUUAUAACUACAACAAAAUUUUCCUUAGGAUGCUGCCUUGACAAAAUACAGGGCUCUUACAGAGAGAUAAUAAAUAACCUGGCAUACAUUUCCCCCCA
ensembl:lncRNA